GAUGAACGCUGGCGGCGUGCCUAAUACAUGCAAGUCGAGCGAACAGACGAGGAGCUUGCUCCUCUGACGUUAGCGGCGGACGGGUGAGUAACACGUGGAUAACCUACCUAUAAGACUGGGAUAACUUCGGGAAACCGGAGCUAAUACCGGAUAAUAUAUUGAACCGCAUGGUUCAAUAGUGAAAGACGGUUUUGCUGUCACUUAUAGAUGGAUCCGCGCCGCAUUAGCUAGUUGGUAAGGUAACGGCUUACCAAGGCAACGAUGCGUAGCCGACCUGAGAGGGUGAUCGGCCACACAGGAACUGAGACACGGUCCAGACUCCUACGGGAGGCAGCAGUAGGGAAGCUUCCGCAAUGGGCGAAAGCCUGACGGAGCAACGCCGCGUGAGUGAUGAAGGUCUUCGGAUCGUAAAACUCUGUUAUUAGGGAAGAACAAAUGUGUAAGUAACUAUGCACGUCUUGACGGUACCUAAUCAGAAAGCCACGGCUAACUACGU
rnacentral:rRNA from 1 species